GUAGCGGACACCCAAGAACU
rnacentral:misc_RNA from 1 species